rnacentral:rRNA from 1 species
UGGGAAUCUUAGACAAUGGGGGAAACCCUGAUCUAGCCAUGCCGCGUGAGCGAUGAAGGCCUUAGGGUUGUAAAGCUCUUUUCAGCUGGGAAGAUAAUGACGGUACCAGCAGAAGAAGCCCCGGCUAACUCCGUGCCAGCAGCCGCGGUAAUACGGAGGGGGCUAGCGUUGUUCGGAAUUACUGGGCGUAAAGCGCACGUAGGCGGAUUAGUCAGUCAGAGGUGAAAUCCCAGGGCUCAACCCUGGAACUGCCUUUGAUACUGCUAGUCUUGAGGUCGAGAGAGGUGAGUGGAAUUCCGAGUGUAGAGGUGAAAUUCGUAGAUAUUCGGAGGAACACCAGUGGCGAAGGCGGCUCACUGGCUCGAUACUGACGCUGAGGUGCGAAAGCGUGGGGAGCAAAA